rnacentral:rRNA from 1 species
UACGGAGGGUGCAAGCGUUAUCCGGAUUCACUGGGUUUAAAGGGUGCGUAGGCGGCUUAAUAAGUCAUUGGUGAAAGCUCGCAGCUCAACUGCGAAACUGCCAUUGAAACUGUUUAGCUUGAAUGUGGUUGAAGUGGGCGGAAUACAACAUGUAGCGGUGAAAUGCUUAGAUAUGUUGUAGAACACCGAUUGCGAAGGCAGCUCACUAAGCCAAUAUUGACGCUGAGGCACGAAAGCGUGGGUAGCAAACAGG